CUGGCAGUGGAACUGACUGGCAUUUGUGACAUCAUGUGUAAACACACUGAUGUCAGAAAUGCAGGGUUAGAGGCUAAAUCAAACCCUUUGCUUCCAGAGGAUAUAGCAGAUCCUGGCCUGGAGGGAGCAGAGUGCUGUAUUCACAUCAGCAUCUUUCCCUUUCAGUGUGCUGAAGCCCCUACGCAAGAGCUAACUGGAGAAUGGGCUUCACAUGUUCAAGACAGGUGUGAGGAAACACCUGCAGAACUGGAAGUUGAAUAGCACCUGGUUAACUUUUGUGGGUGGAGUGGGGGGCAAAUCCUGCUUAACAAGGAUGUCAAACUGAUCUUUGUUCAACUCUUGCUAGAAGUAUCUGUGGCAACAAACUGGAGACAGUGAUAGCGGGAGUUAAAGCUUAUACUUCUUCGUGGACAUUUUGGUGGUGCUUUCCAUAUCUGUCUCAUCUGAGGACCAGUGUACUAAAAAGAACGAAUUCUGCAUUUUUUGCUCUUUACAAACUCCCACUGGUGUACACAAGAGCUUUGCCAGAGAAAGGACUGAAGGUUUAUUAUCAUUGUUAUCAUUGCAUUAUUAAUUGCUUAUUCAAUAUGCAUAGAAAGUUAAUAUUGAAUAUGUUAUAUUUGUCAGCAAGAUACAGUAUAAUGUCUAACCACCCGUUUAUUGUCCACAGAAAGAGUCAAUAUUAGCUUUGUUCACUGGAAUCCGUUCCCAGUGUGUAGCAUCUCGUAAUGU